rnacentral:tRNA from 1 species
GGUGGCUCAGUGAUAGAGCGCUUGUCUUGCAUGCAUGAGACCCUGGGUUCGAUUCCUCAGCACCA